GGUGCUUGCACUGGUUGGAUUAGUGGCGAACGGGUGAGUAAUACGUGAGUAACCUGCCUUUGACUCUGGGAUAAGCCUGGGAAACUGGGUCUAAUACCGGAUAUGACAAGGAACCGCAUGGUUUUUUGUGGAAAGGGUUUGUACUGGUUUUAGAUGGGCUCACGGCCUAUCAGCUUGUUGGUGGGGUAAUGGCUCACCAAGGCGACGACGGGUAGCCGGCCUGAGAGGGUGACCGGCCACACUGGGACUGAGACACGGCCCAGACUCCUACGGGAGGCAGCAGUGGGGAAUAUUGCACAAUGGGCGCAAGCCUGAUGCAGCGACGCCGCGUGAGGGAUGACGGCCUUCGGGUUGUAAACUCUUUCAGCAGGGAAGAAGCGAAAGUGACGGUACCUGCAGAAGAAGCGCCGGCUAACUACGUGCCAGCAGCCGCGGUAAUACGUAGGGCGCGAGCGUUGUCCGGAAUUAUUGGGCGUAAAGAGCUUGUAGGCGGUUUGUUGCGUCUGCUGUGAAAGACCGGGGCUUAACCCCGGUAUUGCAGUGGGUACGGGCAGACUAGAGUGCAGUAGGGGAGACUGGAAUACCUGGUGUAGCGGUGAAAUGCGCAGAUAUCAGGAGGAACACCGAUGGCGAAGGCAGGUCUCUGGGCUGUAACUGACGCUGAGAAGCGAAAGCAUGGGGAGCGAACAGGAUUAGAUACCCUGGUAGUCCAUGCCGUAAACGUUGGGCACUAGGUGUGGGGGACAUUCCACGUUUUCCGCGCCGUAGUAACGCAUUAAGUGCCCCGCCUGGGGAGUACGGCCGCAAGGCUAAAACUCAAAGGAAUUGACGGGGGCCCGCACAAGCGGCGGAGCAUGCGGAUUAAUUCGAUGCAACGCGAAGAACCUUACCAAGGCUUGACAUAUACUGGACCGCCUCAGAGAUGGGGUUUCCUUCGGGGCUGGUAUACAGGUGGUGCAUGGUUGUCGUCAGCUCGUGUCGUGAGAUGUUGGGUUAAGUCCCGCAACGAGCGCAACCCUCGUUCUAUGUUGCCAGCACGUUAUGGUGGGGACUCAUAGGAGACUGCCGGGGUCAACUCGGAGGAAGGUGGGGAUGACGUCAAAUCAUCAUGCCCCUUAUGUCUUGGGCUUCACGCAUGCUACAAUGGCCGGUACAAAGGGUUGCGAUACUGUGAGGUUGAGCUAAUCCCAAAAAGCCGGUCUCAGUUCGGAUUGGGGUCUGCAACUCGACCCCAUGAAGUCGGAGUCGCUAGUAAUCGCAGAUCAGCAACGCUGCGGUGAAUACGUUCCCGGGCCUUGUACACACCGCCCGUCAAGUCACGAAAGUUGGUAACACCCGAAGCCGAUGGCCUAAC
rnacentral:rRNA from 1 species